AUUAUUCGCUAUUCAGACGCGAGACGUUCAAAUCACGCGCCACGUUCAAACGUGGGUCACGUGGCUCGGCGCACAUCGGCCAUCAUGGUAUCAGGCGUCUGCUUUUCUGCGUCGUUGCGUUACAUCUGCGCUGCUUGCAUUGUCUGUCAGAUAUCGAGUUCGCGAUCAUUUAUGAAUUCAGUCAAUGUUUGUGGCUAGGACUUGGAACCAAUCAAUCUCUUGCAUUGACAUAUUUAUCAACGUUGCAAGGUUAGAACGUGGUUAGAACGUAUUUUAAAUCUCAAUAUCGUCCUUAGCGUCAGACUUGGAAAUUAUAUCUGCUACUAAACACCAAGUGAAGUAUUCGUCGCUCCGUGCUGUCAAAAUUUAUUCUUCUAGAAAUGCUUACCCUGCACCGAUCAAUCUUUUCGCUUUUUACGCUACGAACGGGUGGAAAACAGCAACGGUAUUUUUCAUCGUUCUCUGCGAUGAAAGACCCGCACCACGGAUGGAUCGACGGAAAGAUAUUUAAGUCUCCGAUAGCCAGCGUACCAGCCCCUAACCUCACUUCGCCUGUCUCUUCGUUAAUAUCUGACGAGGCAAGAAUGAUUUGUGACAAUCAGUGGUUUCUUAAUAUUUUCGAAGUUUACAAUUUUUACUUGAAUAUUGCUACUAAGGACCGUUCUGAUAUCGUAACACGGUGCUUGAAGCAAAGUUACCUGAGCAACCAAGUGAAAAUCAAGUAGUGCUAAUUAGCUGUUCGCAUUGUGUCUUGGCAAAUUUCAUCGGAAGACAAACUUCUGGCUUCAGAAUAAGAACUGCUUUGACUGAUGUGUGAGAUAUAAAUAAACACACCAUGUUGUGUCAUCUGAGAUUGGAGUUGUCAAGUGACGUAUGUGAAGGAUUGUAGUCAGCCGCUGAGGUAAUUAGAACAAAAAAUGAAUGAAUGUAUGAAGAUAAGCAAGCACAAGUAGUCGUACAUCGUCACAACCAUGGGCUCGUAGGAAACUAGUGCGAAUGUGAUAAUAUGCUUACUGCAGUGAAAGAAUUCUGUCUUCGUACAAGUAACGUAAAUAUAGACCAACCUGGAAGCUAUUAAUGAAAAUUCUUGUUUGACCGGUGGUAUUAUCAAACAAGAAACUGAAUUCGAUCAUUGCUGUCCUCAAAUAGCCAUGUUAUCAAUACUGGUAACCCCUCCUUUUCAAGAUAUCAAUCAGCAUCAAGUGGAGUUGACUGAAGUUGGGAUUAUCGGAAUGGAGAGAAAAACCAAGUAACUCCAACCUCCGAACGAAAUUUGCUGAAAAUAAAAUGGCUUUUGACAGCUUAGAUUGAUUACCACGAGCCGAUAUUAAAGAAUGUAUCACAGAUGAAAUCAGCCACUUGAGAUUGUGAUCUUGUUUUCCAUCACACAUCUAGUAGAUUGGACAUCAAAAUGCUUACAUAUAAAAUCCAACGGCACAAAAUAAUACUUGACAAAGAUUUCGUAGCAAAUCACAAAAUAUCAGUUAAGCUUGAAUUUAACUCGAUAAUUAACUUUAGAAGAGCAAUCAGAUAUUUAAGUAGGCACUUGAGAAAUACCCGUCAUCCCGAAUCGUACACAAAUGUAUAUUAAUAUCUAAUUGCCACUUUGAUAUAAGUACUUUAUGCGAAGAACUAUGUAUGUUCUGUUCUUUAUUGCGUUGUAUAUACGUUUUACAAAUUUGUUUAUCAUGUUGUAAACUCGGUCCAUUCUAUUACUUAUCUCGGUAAUUCCAAUGCAAUCAUUCCGUGUUAACUCAUUGUCAGGCCCCAUUGUUGACAAAUUACUGUCAAGUAAGGCUACACGUAUUUUUAUUUAUGACAUUAGCAAAGUUACUCAAUGUGCUCAUAUAUUUUUCGUCAACCAUGAUAUGUGCCGUGACGUCAAAUAUGAAGCUCAAACACUUCUAUUCGCAAUAAAGGCAUGUGUAUACUGCGUAUGCAUGCAUUUUAUAUGUUAUUAGCAUUAUUAUUAUUAUUAUUAUUAGCAAACCGCCAAUUAGCUUAUAUUCUGAUUAUAGUCUUGUGACUUACACAGUGUAGUACUUUCUUUCUUUCUUUAUUACAUCGAGUUACAAUGAAGUGCAACUUUUCUUUUCGAGUAUUCAAUUAUUUAUAUUCAUAGGCACGGGUGAAUACAAAAAAAUGCGAAUUCGCUGCAUUGCAAAAAGUUAGACCUACCUUCACCUAGGUCUUGAAUUUUCAAAUCUUUACCUGAUUUAUAAAUUUGAAUCCCCGACAUGCCGGACAAUCGUUGACACCACAGACUUUACCUAAAAAAAUUCAGCAAUAUGAGUACGAAGAUAUGCUGAAUUUAAAUAAAUUUUUCUUCAUCAAAAACGAAUGGAUAAACGUCGUAAUUCAAUUCUUGAAUAUUCAAAAGUGGCUUGUCCUAAUUUAAGAAUAUCUUGCUAUGAAUCAGUGAUAAAAAUAAUCUAACAAUCCAAUCAACAGUUGAUAUGCUUUCCCAUGACAACUACGUGAUUUUAUAUAAUUCUUUAGCCGGUAUAGAAUCCAUUGAAGAUUUUGGGAUAAAAAAAGUGUUACCUACUAGUGGUAAGAGUUUUAACUAAUAAGUGAGAGAAACACAUUACCUUUUUGUUUUUCUCAAAUUAUACAAAUAUUGAGGUAAAAAAAAAACUGUGUACAAUUUUUAGAAUUUUAUUGUUACCUACAAUUUACCGUGCCUUAAUGUACGCCCAAUUUGACAAAAACGAUGACACCUCCAUUUUCUAUCCUAAUCAUGUGUGCCUAUGAAUAAAACUUGCAUUACCACGGUCUUUCAGUGCAGACCAGUAUUCAAAAAAAAUUUGA
rnacentral:lncRNA from 1 species